rnacentral:rRNA from 1 species
GACGAACGCUGGCGGCGUGCUUAACACAUGCAAGUCGAACGAUGAAAUCACUUCGGUGGUGGAUUAGUGGCGAACGGGUGAGUAACACGUGGGCAAUCUGCCCUUCACUCUGGGACAAGCCCUGGAAACGGGGUCUAAUACCGGAUACCACUUCGUCCCGCAUGGGACGGGGUUGAAAGCUCCGGCGGUGAAGGAUGAGCCCGCGGCCUAUCAGCUUGUUGGUGGGGUAAUGGCCUACCAAGGCGACGACGGGUAGCCGGCCUGAGAGGGCGACCGGCCACACUGGGACUGAGACACGGCCCAGACUCCUACGGGAGGCAGCAGUGGGGAAUAUUGCUCAAUGGGCGAAAGUCUGAUGCGGUUACGCCCCUUGAGGGAUGACCGCCUUUGGGGUGUACAGCUCGAUUCAGCAGGAAGAAGCGCAAGUGACGGUACCUGCAAAGAGCGCCGGCUAACUACGUGCCAGCAGCCGCGGUAAUACGUAGGCGCAAGCGUUGUCCGGAAUUAUUGGGCGUAAAGAGCUCGUAGCGGCUUGUCACGUCGGAUGUGAAAGCCCGGGGCUUAACCCCGGGUCUGCAUUCGAUACGGGCUAGCUAGAGUGUGGUAGGGGAGAUCGGAAUUCCUGGUGUAGCGGUGAAAUGCGCAGAUAUCAGGAGGAACACCGGUGGCGAAGGCGGAUCUCUGGGCCAUUACUGACGCUGAGGAGCGAAAGCGUGGGGAGCGAACAGGAUUAGAUACCCUGGUAGUCCACGCCGUAAACGUUGG